rnacentral:rRNA from 1 species
AUGGCCGGAAAUGAGGAGUCUUCCUCGCUGAAGCCGUGCAGCACCAAAAGUACGGCGGCAGCGCAGGCUGUCAGCGGCGAUGAGUGUCCGCUGAAGAUCGGCUCCACCAAAAGGAAGGUGCCGGCUGAGGAGCACGACGAGGAAGAUAUUGUUCUUGCCGAGUCAACCAUUGAUGAGACCAAAGGGCAGGCCACCAAAGCUGCAGUAGCAGACUCUGAUGACGGUUCCGGUGAUGAUGAUGAGCCAGUCUCAGAUGCUGAGUAUAAAGCCUUACUUGACGAGUUGGAUGAGAAGCACAGGAAGUUCUGGCACGAAGAGUUUUUGCCUCUGAAUCCACUUUUGAAGGAUUACUAG